rnacentral:rRNA from 1 species
GACGAACGCUGGCGGCGUGCUUAACACAUGCAAGUCGAACGGAAAGGCCCUGCUUUUGUGGGGUGCUCGAGUGGCGAACGGGUGAGUAACACGUGAGUAACCUGCCCUUGACUUUGGGAUAACUUCAGGAAACUGGGGCUAAUACCGGAUAGGAGCUCCUGCUGCAUGGUGGGGGUUGGAAAGUUUCGGCGGUUGGGGAUGGACUCGCGGCUUAUCAGCUUGUUGGUGGGGUAGUGGCUUACCAAGGCUUUGACGGGUAGCCGGCCUGAGAGGGUGGCCGGCCACAUGGGGACUGAGGGACGGCGCAGACUCCUACGGGAGGCAGCAGGGGGGAAUAUUGCACAAUGGGCGGAAGCCUGAUGCAGCAACGCCGCGGGCGGGAUGACGGCCUUCGGGUUGUAAACCGCUUUCGCCUGUGACGAAGCGUGAGUGACGGUAAUGGGUAAAGAAGCACCGGCUAACUACGUG